rnacentral:rRNA from 1 species
CACGUAGGGGGCGAGCGUUGUCCGGAUUCAUUGGGCGUAAAGCGCGCGCAGGCGGCUUGGAGAGUCGGGUGUGAAAACUCGGGGCUCAACCCCGGGCGUGCAUCCGAUACUGCCAGGCUUGAGGCAGGUAGGGGAGAUCGGAAUUCCUGGUGUAGCGGUGAAAUGCGCAGAUAUCAGGAGGAACACCGGUGGCGAAGGCGGAUCUCUGGGCCUGUCCUGACGCUGAGGCGCGAAAGCUAGGGGAGCGAACAGG